GAAAUGCGAUAAGUAAUGUGAAUUGCAGAAUUCAGUGAAUCAUCGAAUCUUUGAACGCACCUUGCGCUCCUUGGUAUUCCUUGGAGCAUGCCUGUUUGAGUAUCAUGAAAUCUUCAAAGUAAAUCUUUUGUUAACUCAAUUGGUUUCUACUUUGGUAUUGGAGUCUUUGCAGCUUCACACCUGCUCCUCUUUGUUCAUUAGCUGGAUCUCAGUGUUAUGCUUGGUUCCACUCGGCGUGAUAAGUUAUCUAUCGCUGAGGACACUGUAAAAGGUGGCCAAGGUAAAUGCAGAUGAACCGCUUCUAAUAGUCCAUUGACUUGGACAAUACUUUUAUGAUCUGAUCUCAAAUCAGGUAGGACUACCCGCUGAACUUAAGC
rnacentral:misc_RNA from 1 species